rnacentral:lncRNA from 1 species
GGUCACAAUUUUAAGUUUAUUAAUACAUUUAUUAAAUUAUCAUCAAUAUUAUUGAUAUCAUGAAAUACAAAAAUUAUCAACAAGUCUGUUUGUUUGGCCUGAAGUGCUCGUUAAUAUAAACAAAUUUUACAAAAUAAGGCAGAAAAAUAAAGUAAAACCCCCACCUUCUUCCUCCAUUGUCCAAUUUUCUCAUGGAACAAUCUUGAUAUAUUUUGGUUAAAGUUCACGACUAAUUCUUUGGGAAUGUUAAUUUAACGUAUAAUCUUUGAAACACUGCAGAGAAACUCUGUCCUAAGUUCAUCAAAAUUAAUAGGCAGUAUGCGUGCUUCUUUUGUUCCUUUCCUUUUCACAAAACAUAUUAUCCUAAGCAAAGAGCAAGCGUCUGAUCAUAUUAUCCUAAGAAAAGAGUAAGCGUCAGAUCUACGAAGAGGAAUAUGUCCAUCGUAUUCCCGUAGCAUACUUUUGGAUCAUGCUCCAAGUUCCACUGUGCUACACAGGCUAUCAGAUUUUUUUUGUUUACAAUUGCAUCCGUUGCACGAAGUUUCUUCACGUAAUCCACAAUUAUGAUUAUGGGCGACCCUUUAGACUUUUGCUUAAGGUUCAUCAUAACCUUUUGGCUCAUAUUGCCGUAUCUACACCACAAAUUAUUCUCUGCGUACAGAAAA